AAAGAGUAUAGUUUUGUAUUGUUUAUGUCCAAUGUUUGAGCAUCUGUCUUAAUAGAUAAAAAUUUACGAUUAGUAUUUUUAUUGUUAUUAGAUGAUAAAAUAUCAAUAGUACUUUAUGUGUAACUAAUUUUUCUUAUUUUUUAUAAAUUUUUAAAUAAGACGGAUGAUCAAAUGUUGGACAAGAAAAUACAUAACCGCACUUAAA
rfam:Oryza glaberrima chromosome 10 Oglab10_0060_26, whole genome shotgun sequence.